rfam:Pteropus alecto contig109771, whole genome shotgun sequence.
GGUUUCAUAGUGUAGCAGUUGGCACGUCUGCUUUACACACAGAAGGUGCUGGGUUUGUGCCCCAGUGGAGCCA